rnacentral:lncRNA from 1 species
CAAGUCUCUUUCCCUAUUCAUUUUUAUUAUGUUUAUUUACUUGUUAAUAUGCGCUAUUAGUCUUAAGGUUGAAAAAUUCAAAUCCCCGAAAGACGCCCGUUUUGUUUUAACAAUUUAACGAAAAUCGGUCAUCUUUAAAUAGACAUAAAAAAUAAUUUUUGUAAAAAAAAUAUAUCUCACUUAGUUAGUAUUUUCAGUUUUUUUUCCUUUUCCUCUUUAAAACGAUUCUAACUAUAAAAUUGUUCAGUUCAAAUUAAGUCAAACGAAUUUAGCCAAAUAAUUAAUUGUUGGAUAACCACAUAAGUGGACAUUCUAGGUGCUUUUAAAACCUUCCUAGAAUGUUAAUAAGAACCUCGAACCCUUUUUAAGUUUUCAUUAGAUUUCUGUUUUAGUCUUUUGAAAACAACAGUUUUCUUGAUUUUUCUUAAAAAUUAAGUGGCGACUCUUAAACAAGUCCAAAAUACAUUUUCCAAAUAAAACAAUACCAACAAGAAUAAUUUAGGUAACACACUAAUAAUACAUUUAUAAGACAUGCACAAUACAUAUUGUUACCGUCACUCAUUUUUUUAGUGAUCAAAAUAAUUUAUAGGACACAUACUAUAUAAGUUUUAUUCAUGAGAAAUACAUUUAUAAUACAUAUAUAUUGCAACCGUCACUCAUUUUCUUAGUGAUACAAAUCAAAAUAAUUUAUAAAAUAAUUUAUAAGACACAUAUAAUAUAAAUUUUAUUCGUGAACAAUAUAUAUUUAAUACAUAUUGCAAACUUAACUCUAUUCUUUGUGAUACCAACCAAAUGAUUUAGGUAACACACUUAUUAUACAUUUAUAAUACAUGCACACUAUAUUUUUAAUACAUAUUGCAAAC